rnacentral:rRNA from 1 species
UUACCAGCUUGACAUGAGAAAUUCCGCAAGGCACAGGUGCUGCAUGGUUGUCGUCAGCUCGUGCCUUGAGGUGUUCGGUUAAGUCCGUUAACGAGCGCAACCCUGUCUGUGUUUUUUCACAGAGACUGCCGAUUUUAAUCGGAGGAAGGUAAGGAUGACGUCAAAUCAGCAUGGCCCUUAUGCUGGGCUACACACGUGCUACAAUGGGGUACAAGGGGCACCGUAAGGGGAGCAAUCCUAAACCGUCUCAGUUCGGAUUGAGGGCUGCAACUCGCCCUCAUGAAGUUGGAAUCGCUAGUAAACGCGAUCAGCAUGCGCGUUGAAUAUGUUCCUGGGUCUUGUACUCACCGCCCGUCACAUCACGAAAGGUGGGGACCGAA